UACGUAGGGUGCAAGCGUUGUCCGGAAUUAUUGGGCGUAAAGAGCUCGUAGGCGGUCUGUCGCGUCUGCUGUGAAACUCAGGGCUUAACCCUGAGCUUGCAGUGGGUACGGGCAGACUAGAGUGCGGUAGGGGAGACUGGAAUUCCUGGUGUAGCGGUGAAAUGCGCAGAUAUCAGGAGAAACACCGGUGGCGAAGGCGGGUCUCUGGGCCGUAACUGACGCUGAGGCGCGAAAGCAUGGGGGAGCGAACAGG
rnacentral:rRNA from 1 species